UCCUCGCUUCUAUCGCCCACUACAUCACUUGUAUAGCCCACUGCAUCUCUUGUAUCUCCUCACUGACUACAACUCUCAUACUGUUUCUCAGCGUGUCUCGGUUUCUCUAGAAUCAUGGGAAAGAUCAAGAUUGGAAUCAACGGAUUUGGAAGAAUUGGAAGGUUGGUAGCUAGAGUAGCUUUACAGAGAGAUGAUGUUGAACUUGUUGCUGUCAACGAUCCCUUCAUUACCACCGAUUACAUGACAUAUAUGUUUAAGUAUGAUACAGUUCAUGGUCAAUGGAAACAUCAUGAGCUUAAGGUUAAGGAUUCUAAGACACUUCUCUUCGGAGAGAAGUCUGUUACUGUUUUUGGUGUCAGGAACCCAGAGGAGAUCCCAUGGGGUGAGACCGGAGCUGAUUAUAUUGUGGAGUCGACUGGAGUUUUCACUGAUAAGGAUAAGGCUGCUGCUCACUUGAAGGGUGGAGCUAAGAAAGUCAUCAUCUCAGCCCCAAGCAAGGAUGCUCCUAUGUUUGUCAUGGGUGUUAAUGAGAAGAGUUACACACCGGAUCUUAACAUUGUAUCCAAUGCUAGUUGCACUACCAACUGCCUUGCUCCCCUUGCUAAGGUCAUUCAUGACAGAUUUGGCAUCAUUUAGGGACUUAUGACCACUGUUCACUCUAUUACUGCUACCCAGAAAACUGUUGAUGGGCCCUCUUCAAAGGACUGGAGAGGUGGAAGAGCUGCUUCAUUCAACAUCAUUCCUAGCAGCACAGGAGCUGCAAAGGCCGUGGGGAAGGUCCUACCUGCUUUGAAUGGCAAGCUGACAGGAAUGGCUUUCCGUGUUCCUACUGUUGAUGUCUCUGUUGUGGACCUCACAGUGAGACUUGAGAAGGGAGCUAAAUACGAAGAUAUUAAAGCUGCAAUCAAGGAGGAGUCCGAGGGAAAGAUGAAGGGAAUCUUAGGGUACACCGACGAAGAUUUGGUUUCAACCGACUUCAUUGGUGACAACCGGUCAAGUAUCUUUGAUGCCAAAGCUGGAAUUGCUUUGAACGAUAACUAUGUGAAGCUCGUUGCAUGGUAUGACAACGAGUGGGGCUACAGCACUCGCGUGGUUGACUUGAUCACGUACAUUGCAUCUGUUUCUAAAUGAAGUCUCAACAUGAUGGAGCAGCUGCACGCGCUUCCAAUUGCCUGCCUGGUUGUGGUGUUGGUUUUCUGUGAUGUCAAGAGAAUAAAAUUGUUUUAAGACGCCAUGCUAUGAGCUUUGUAAUGUCAGCAAGAUACUCUGUUAGUUUUUAGGUUUGGCUUCUCCGUUUUACCCCGAGGAACUUUAAAUUCAUCGCAACCGGAUUUUAAAUAUUUUUGCCUUUCUAGUAUUGGGAUUAAGGUGUUUCUGCCAACCUCCUGUA